AUGAAACAGCCUGUUGUGUUUGGGGAACUACUAGUGGCUCCACAAAGCUGGAAGUGGAUGUUGCAGCAAGAAAUGGAGCUAGACAGGCAGACAACAAAGGAAAGAAGGAACAACGGUCAUGCCACAAAGGGCUGUGGCCAUGUGCGGCCGAUUUGCUGCAUGAACUGUGCCUGAUGCAUGCCCAAGGACAAAGCCAUUAAGAAAUUUGUCGUUCAAAACAUAGUGGAGGCCACAGCAGUCAGGGAUAUUUCUGAAGUGUGCGUCUUCGAUGCCUAUGUGCUUCCCAAGCUGUAUGUGAAGCCACAUUACUGUGUGAGUUGUGCAAUUCAUAGCAAAGUAGGCAGCAAUUGGUCUCGUGAAGCCUGCAAGGACCAAACACCCCCACCCCGAUUUAGACCUGCAGGUGCUGCCCAACGACCCCCACCAAAACCUAUAUAAGGAGCUGAGUCCUUAAAGACUGAAGAUGGACUAUUCUCUGGACAAAAAUAAAAUGGAAAUUGUACUUAAAAA